AUCACUACUUGUCUGGGGCCCUGCCAACUCUCAGCCGCCGCCCGUCUCCCUGCCUGGGGCAGCAGGACACUUGAGCAUGGAAACUGCUCAAGGAACUCAUGCAAGUGGAACUCACAGCUUCCUUGAUCCGUCUCAGCCUUCAGUAAGUGCCACCCAUUUCGAGCAUUUGUUACAUAAAUACCUCCAAUUCUUUG
rnacentral:lncRNA from 1 species